UCGGAUUGCAGGCUGCAACUCGCCUGCAUGAAGCUGGAAUUGCUAGUAAUCGCGGAUCAGCAAGCCGCGGUGAAUACGUUCCCGGGCCUUGUACACACCGCCCGUCACACCAUGAGAGUCGGGAACACCCGAAGUCCGUAGUCUAACCGCAAGGGGGCGCGGCCGAAGGUGGGCUUGAUAAUUGGGGUGAAGUCGUAACAAGGUAUC
rnacentral:rRNA from 1 species